rnacentral:tRNA from 1 species
UGCCGAGUGGUGUAGUGGUAUCACACGUGACUCUGGAUCACGUAACCCUGGUUCGAAUCCAGGCUCGGCAGCCA